GAGUGCUGGUUCAGUCUGAUUAUUUUGGUAGCUGUGUUUUUCUCUCCCACUCUGUUUGAAGUUUCUUCUCCUGAACAUGUGUGCAGAUGUUCGGUGCUUAUCCUCCUGCAGACCCCCUGCUAUCUCCUAAGCUUCUGCAGCACCACAUACUGGUUUUCUCGGUGGAGAACGUGAGAAGAUGGACAGAGUGAUGAAGAGACAGAGACACUGAGCAGGAGAACCUUCUGUGGAAGUGGAGAAAGAUCAGAGCAAGAAGAACAAUACAAUUAAAGCAAUUACAUACACCAAGAUCCAAACCACACACCCAUUUCAGUACACAUCAAAGCUUGUGUGAAGAAGAGAUGAAGACAUCCUUCAUGUAUUCAGUGGUUCCCAGACUAC